UUUUAAUAAGCUAAUUUAGCAAUAGCCUCUUAAGCUAUAAAUUUAAUAUUAAAUA
rnacentral:tRNA from 1 species